AGGCGCGUAGCUCAGUGGGAGAGCGCUUGCUUGACAUGCAAGAGGUCGGCGGUUCGAUCCCGCCCGCGCCUA
rnacentral:tRNA from 1 species